rnacentral:rRNA from 1 species
AACAAACGCUGGCGGCGUGCCUAACACAUGCAAGUCGUACGAGAAAGUCGGCUUCGGCCGAUGAGUACAGUGGCGCACGGGUGAGUAGCGCGUGGGUAAUCUGCCCCCCGGUCAGGAAUAACCCGCCGAAAGGCGGGCUAAUACCCGAUAACACUGACGCUCCGCGGAGCGUCUUUCAAAGGAGGCCUCUGUUUACAAGCUUUCGCCGGAGGAUGAGCCCGCGUACCAUUAGCUAGUUGGCAGGGUAAUGGCCUACCAAGGCUGCGAUGGUUAGCUGGUCUGAGAGGAUGGCCAGCCACACUGGAACUGAGACACGGUCCAGACUCCUACGGGAGGCAGCAGUGAGGAAUCUUGCGCAAUGGGGGAAACCCUGACGCAGCAACGCCGCGUGAGUGAAGAAGGCCUCGGUUGUAAGACUCUUCGGUCCGGGAAAAGUACGACAUCAGUUAAUAACCUGUGUGGAGUGAUGGUACCGGAAGUAAGAAGACACCGGACUAACUAACGUCGCACG